rnacentral:rRNA from 1 species
GAGCGGCGAACGGGUGAGUAAUACAUCGGAACAUGCCCAGUCGUGGGGGAUAACACUUCGAAAGAAGUGCUAAUACCGCAUACGUCCUGAGGGAGAAAGCGGGGGAUCGCAAGACCUCGCGCGAUUGGAGUGGCCGAUGUCAGAUUAGCUAGUUGGUGGGGUAAAGGCCUACCAAGGCAACGAUCUGUAGCUGGUCUGAGAGGAUGAUCAGCCACACUGGGACUGAGACACGGCCCAGACUCCUACGGGAGGCAGCAGUGGGGAAUUUUGGACAAUGGGGGCAACCCUGAUCCGGCCAUUCCGCGUGAGUGAAGAAGGCCUUCGGGUUGUAAAGCUCUUUCGGCAGGAACGAAACGGCGAGCUCUAACAUAGCUCGCUAAUGACGGUACCUGAAGAAGAAGCACCGGCUA